AUUGAACGCUGGCGGCAAGCCUAACACAUGCAAGUCGAACGAGUGGCGGACGGGUGAGUAAUGUCUGGGCAACUGCCUGAUGGAGGGGGAUAACUACUGGAAACGGUAGCUAAUACAGCAUACCAUCGGAUUUGCCCAGAUGGGAUUAGCUAGUAGGUGGGGUAAAGGCUCACCAAGGCGGCGAUCCCUCGCGGGGCGGAGAGGAUGACCAGCAACAUUGGAACUGAGACACGGUACAUAAUCCUACGGGAGGCAGCAGUGGGGAAUAUUGCACAAUGGGCGCAAGCGUGAUGGAGCCAUGCCGCGUGUAUGAAGAAGGCCUUCGGGUUGUAAAGUACUUUCAGCGGGGAGGCGUUACCCGCAGAAGAAGCACCGGCUAACUCCGUGCAAGCAGCCGCGGUAAUUC
rnacentral:rRNA from 1 species